CCCCAUAGCAGCUUAUUAUGCUUCUUUUUCUUGUGUCAGGAACGACGUAUGAAACUGCAAGUUGUUUCUGGUGUGAGAGAAUUGGCUCUCUGCAAGGACGUUGCCCAGGGGAUGCCCGGAUGUUUGAUGUUUUUCCAUCCGGUGAGAGGCUUCUUUCAUGUCCCAUAUUACAUGAGCUUUGAAGAACCAUCUUGGUGUCCUGGCGGCAGCAGACAGCUUGAGUUCUGCAAUUACAGUCCUUCAAGUAGUCCUGUGUGAAGCUGCUCAGCAUUUCCUUCUCUAAAAGGGUGAAGCAAACUUCAGCUGAAGAGCUCAAAGAAAACUGGGAUGCAGCCCGUAACAGCCUUUGCCAAACGAAACUUGUUCAUCUUUAGGGUGCCAUGGGGCUCUUUGUUGUUUAGACAAAAUACAAUUUCUUUGGUUCCAGUCCCCAGCAUGUCAUUUGAAUGCUUGAGAUAGAUCAAUGCAAAAUAAUAUAACCUCGGGGUCCUAUUUGCCCAGGAAUUCUAUUCCUAAGUAGAAACAGCUUGAGCUCUCUCCCUAAACUUCCAUAUGUCUGCCAUGACAGAAGAAAUCUGAGUGUGAAUAAGGAAAAGCACGGCUACAAUAACCAGCAGCUGCUGGCAAUAUUGCCCACAUUUUCCCCCUCCACUUCAAAUAACACUUUUGUAUUUUAAAACUCCACAACAAACUAAAAACAUCAUGCUACCAACAGCAGGCACAAGAUUCAAUAAAACAUGCUUUGGUUUUUAACACUGCAGUCUCUAUCUCUCUCCUUUUCACUUCUAUAGAACUUGUUCAUCCCAUCCAUCCCAAAAAAAAAAAAAUCUCAUAACAUUUAGUAACAUUUUAAGGGAGCGUGCUAUUGUAGGAAAGGGAUGCCACACUCGUACCUUAUUUGUGCAGUUUUUAUCGGUAUUUGGUUGGCCACAUGGUGGAUUAGACAAUUGGUUUGACCCAGCAUGUCACAUCUUCUUUUAAUAUGUGCUUUCUUUUAUUAUAUUAUAUUAUAUUAUAUUAUAUUAUAUUAUAUUAUAUUAUAUUAUAUUAUAUUAUUAUAUUAUGUGGGGGUCCCAGGUUCAAAUGCUGGGAGCGGAAUGAGCGCCCACUGUUAGCCCCAGCUCCUGCCAACCUAGCAGUUCGAAAACAUGCCAAUGUGAGUAGAUAAAUAGGCAGGAAGGUAACGGCGCUCCAUGCCGUCAUGCUGGCCACAUGACCUUGGAGGUGUCUAUGGACAACACCGGCUCUUCGGCUUAGAAAUGGAGAUGAGCACCAACUCCCAGAGUUGGUCACGACUGGACUUAACGUCAGGGGAAUCCUUUACCUUACCUUAUUAUAUUAUAUUAUAUCGUAAAUACCACCACACACACACACACACACACACACACACACACACACACACACACACACAUAUAUAUAUAUAUAUAUAUAUAUAUAUAUAUAUAUAUAUAUAAAAUCUUGAAGCUGUUAAACCUCAACAAUAAUCAAUUCAUUAUAAAAAAAACUGAUUCACAGGCCUGUAACACUGAGAGUCAUAAAAACCAUAUUUUAUGGGAAUCUGGCAUUCUGAAUCCAAAAUUCUGAAUCAGAUUUGCUCUAACACAUACAUUUUUUUUUUCCACAACUUGUUUUUGGUAAUUUUAUUUUGUAACAUGUGAUUGAGUAAAGAUUUCUUUGGGGAGUAAACAGUAAGAAAAGAGGUUAAUGUUUUCUAAUAGACUUUCAAAAUACUUUAAUUCAUUGAUAGAAGCACAGAAACAUUUUCAAAAGCAUUAAAAGAAAUCACACUGGAAGAUCAGCACCUGUACUUAAUAAAAAUUGAGUAACAAACAAGUAUGUAAACUUGUACAACAAUUUUAUUGUCUUUUUUGAAUUCAGCACCCCAUAAUGGAUUAAAAACAAGUACAAUAUUGAAAUAAGUAUUUUUUUUUUCUUUUUCCAUCUUGUGUUACUUAAG